rnacentral:rRNA from 1 species
UGAAGAUUAGGUAGUACUAAUUGGAGGACCGAACCCAAUACUGUUGCAAAAGUAUGGGAUGAGCUGUGGAUCGGAGUGAAAGGCUAAUCAAGCACGGAGAUAGCUGGUUCUCCCCGAAAACUAUUUAGGUAGUGCCUCGUGUAUAACUCAUUGGGGUAAAGCACUGUUUCGACAAUGGGGGUUUUACGACCUUACUGACUCGAUGCAAACUCAGAAUACGAUGAAGUUCGAUCACGGGAGACACACUGCGGGUGCUAAGGUCCGCAGUGGAAAGGGAAACAGCCCAGACCGCCAACUAAGGUCCCAAAGUCAUAGCUAAGUGGGAAACGAAGUGGGAAGGCCCAGACAGCCAGGAGGUUGGCUUAGAAGCAGCCACCCUUUAAAGAAAGCGUAAUAGCUCACUGGUCGAGUCGGCCUGCACGUAAGAUUUAACGGGGCUAAGCUAUGCACUGAAGUUGCGGAAUAUAUUUAGUAUAUUGGUAGGGGAGCGUUCUGUAAGCCGAUGAAGGUGAAUUGAGAAGUUUGCUGGAGGUAUCAGAAGUGCGAAUGCUGACAUGAGUAACGUAAAAUAAG